rnacentral:misc_RNA from 1 species
GAUGAAGAACGUAGCGAAAUGCGAUAAGUAGUGUGAAUUGCAGAAUUCAGUGAAUCAUCGAAUCUUUGAACGCACAUUGCGCCUCCUGGUAUUCCGGGAGGCAUGCCUGUUCGAGCAUCAUUAAAAUCACUCAAGCUUAGGUUUACCUAUUGCUUGGUCUUGGAGAUGGAAGCCAAUUUAUUGGAAUCCUCUUCGAAAUUCAAUGGCGAAGACCCUUGCUCUCCCAAGUGUAGUAAUAACUUAUGUCACUGAAGGAAGCGAGAAAUCUUCUGCCGUAACCCCCAUAUUUUCUAUGAUUGACCUCGGAUCAGGUAGGGAUACCCGCUGAACUUAAGCAUAUCAAUAAGCGGAGGA